AACGUAGGAGGCGAGCGUUAUCCGGAUUUACUGGGCGUAAAGCGCGUGUAGGCGGUUUCAUAAGUCGUGCGUGAAAGCUCCCUGGCUCAACCGGGAGAGGUCGUGCGAUACUGCGAAACUUGAGUCAGACAGAGGCAAGUAGAAUUCCGGGUGUAGUGGUGAAAUGCGUAGAUAUCCGGAGGAAUACCAGUGGCGCAAGCGGCGCUCUGGGUCGAGCCUGACACUGAGACGCGAAGGCAUGGGGAGCGAACGGG
rnacentral:rRNA from 1 species